UGAGCAAUCUGCCCUUCUCUUCGGAAUAAGCGUGGGAAACCGCGUCUAAUGCCGAAUACGACCUCCUUUCGCAUGAUCGGAGGUGGAAAGCUCCGGCGGAGAAGGAUGAGCUCGCGGCCUAUCAGCUAGUUGGUGUGGGUAAUGGCCCACCAAGGCGACGACGGGUAGUCGGCCUGAGAGGGUGACCGGCCACACUGGGACUGAGACACGGCCCAGACCUCCGUACGGGAGGNAG
rnacentral:rRNA from 1 species